UGAGGAAUAUUGGUCAAUGGGCGAGAGCCUGAACCAGCCAAGUCGCGUGAGGGAAGAAUGGUCUAUGGCCUGUAAACCUCUUUUGUCAAGGAAGAAUAAGGAUGACGAGUCAUUCGAUGCCAGUACUUGACGAAUAAGCAUCGGCUAACUCCGUGCCAGCAGCCGCGGUAAUACGGGGGAUGCGAGCGUUAUCCGGAUUUAUUGGGUUUAAAGGGCGCGUAGGCGGGACGGCAAGUCAGCGGUAAAAGACUGCAGCUAAACUGUAGCACGCCGUUGAAACUGUUGACCUCGAGACGAGACGAGGGAGGCGGAACAAGUGAAGUAGCGGUGAAAUGCAUAGAUAUCGCUUGGAACCCCGAUAGCGAAGGCAGCUUCCCAGGCUCGUUCUGACGCUGAUGCGCGAGAGCGUGGGUAGCGAACAGGAUUAGAUACCCUGGUAGUCCACGCCGUAAACGAUGCUCACUGGAUCUUGGCGAUACACGGCCAGGGUUCAAGCGAAAGUAUUAAGUGAGCCACCUGGGGAGUACGUCGGCAACGAUGAAACUCAAAGGAAUUGACGGGGGCCCGCACAAGCGGAGGAACAUGUGGUUUAAUUCGAUGAUACGCGAGGAACCUUACCCGGGUUUAAAUGUAGAUUGCAUGAGGUGGAAACACUUCUUCCCUUCGGGGCUAUUUACAAGGUGCUGCAUGGUUGUCGUCAGCUCGUGCCGUGAGGUGUCGGGUUAAGUCCCAUAACGAGCGCAACCCCUAUCGCCAGUUGCCAUCGGUUCAAGCCGGGCACUCUGUCGAGACUGCCACCGUAAGGUGCGAGGAAGGCGGGGAUGACGUCAAAUCAGCACGGCCCUUACACCCGGGGCGACACACGUGUUACAAUGGCCGGUACAGAGGGCAGCCACGGGGUGACCCGGAGCGAAUCUCUAAAGCCGGUCGUAGUUCGGACUGGAGUCUGCAACCCGACUCCACGAAGUUGGAUUCGCUAGUAAUCGCGCAUCAGCCAUGGCGCGGUGAAUACGUUCCC
rnacentral:rRNA from 1 species